rnacentral:lncRNA from 1 species
CAUACAAAAAUUCAAAGAAUCUAUACACAUGAUUAGGAGCUUAAAAAUACCCAAAUUCUCUCCUUGGAAGGGUAACGGAAGCAUAUACAUCAUUCUUCCAUAUAUCGUUUUACCAGCAGCUUGAAAGGAACUGUCAAUUUUCUGUUGUAAGGUCAGUACAGAAUCAAGAACCACCACAACCUCAGCCAUGGUAGGACGCUGCUUUGGAUUAAUGUGCAAACAUCUCUCUGCAAUUCGAACAAACUUCCUCAAACAUUUUGGGGAUAUUUGACGCCGUAUACUAUAAUCAAUUAUAUUCUUUAAAUUGCCCUGUUUUAUUGAUUCUUGAGCCCAUGGCACUAAACCCCAUUGCUCCUCAUCAAGAGUUUCAUCCACCGCACGUUUCCGACGUAACAGUUCCAGCAAUAUCACCCCAAAAGAGUACACGUCAGACUUCCUAUUUAACCUUCCAGUUGUGUAAUAAUUUGGAUCAAUAUACCCAAAAGUUCCUUUAACAAGUGUGUUGACAAUAGUAGAUGGCCGAUUCGUUGACCCUAUUUUGGACAACCCGAAGUCUGAGAUUUUAGCUGCCCAGUUGUCUUGUAACAAAAUAUUAGAGCUCUUGACAUCACGAUGUAUGACACCAAACUCAAUCCCAGUACCUGUGUGUAAGUAAUCUAACCCACGAGCAGUACCUAUACAGAUCUUGAGUCGUUGAAGCCAAGAAAGAGGGGUUCCAAGUUUAUGGAGGUGGUCUUCGAGGGUUCCAUUGGGCAUGUAUUCAUAGAUGAUGAUCAUCUCUUUCUCGUGAUUACAGUAACCAAACAGAGACACGAGAUGACAGUGACGCAACUUGGAAAGCAUCUUAACUUCCGCCCAGAACUCCGAUGCACCUUGAGAGGACAUGGAAUCCAGUCGUUUAAUGGCAGCAACAACAACAUUUGAUCCGUUGAUAAUGUUACCUUUAUAAACCUUUCCAAAUCCCCCAUGCCCAAUUACUAAUGAUUCAUCAAAGUUAUUGGUUGCUGAGAGAAUCUCAGGGAAUUCGAAGGGACGGCAUGGUUGUGACCAUUCUAUGGAGGAGGAGGUCGAGGGUUGAGAUUCAUUGCCGUCGCCCAUAAUUAUUGAUAUUAUAGAGGCAGAAUGAGUAGCUUCAUACUUGAUACUGACAAUUUAUAAUCAACCAUACAAAAACUCAAAAGCCUAUCUUCUUCAUCUAAACAGAGACCAAGUCAACGUUACGUUACUCCAAAAGUUUUAUAGUCAACGUACCAAAGAAUAGCAGCCUUUGCUGUUGAUCAUAUUAUUUUUGUUUCUUAUUCUUAUAUUUAUCUUAUUACAUUUAUUAACUGUAUUAUCAAAAACCAUUAUUUGUCUUAACUUUUAAAAUAUAUUAUUAAUACUAUGUUGAUUGGUGAUAUAAUAUGACUAAGAUCGCAUAUAUGAAAAAAAUGUUUAAUAAAAGACACAUCCAAGGAAAAUACAUGGUCAUUUCGUGGCUAAGCUACUUGAAUCUCUCUUAAAAUUUAUUUUUGAAUUAUUUUUAGUCAAACGUUUUAUAUGACAUGUAAUUAAUCAUUCAACUUACAACAAGAAAAAUAUUUCAUGGGUAAAGAUUUUACGGUGCAUGCAAAAAUGAAUAGUAUAAAGUAGAAAAAUGAGCGUACAUCUAUCAUGUACCUCAUUAAACAACCAAAGUCUAAGAAGUAUGACCUCAUAUCUUUUAUCCAUUAUUUGUUAUUAGAAUAUAUUUGCUCCAACCUCUUCAAAAUUUCUUCCCUUGAAGGCCUAGCCUCAGGAUCUUCAGCUACACAUCUUGUUGCGAGUGAGGUAAAUCCAAAAUCCGACACUGAUGCACGUUGGCUUGUUAGGGUUUCAAACAAACACCACUCCGAAACUAUAUUUAUUGUACAUAAUCACAAGAUAUAGAUAUAUUAACCUUUCAAGCUACUCUAUGAUGUUUUAUCUUCAUAUUAAUGUGGGACACCAUCACUCGAUCAAAUAUUACUUAUUGUAGCCUCUUUCAUCUCAUCGAACUCAUCGAUAUUAGGGUAAAAUUUAGCCAAACCAAAGUACGUGAGUUUCACAUUAAAAUUCUAGAAUAAAAAUAAAUUUGUUAACUUUUAUGGCAUAAAACCAAAAACAUCGCCACUAAAAUAACUUCAAUACUUGAUCCAGCAAUAUAUUAAAGGUUUUAAUACAACCGUGUAUGACUUGUUCUUUUGACGAGUGCAUAUAAGCGAGUCCACGCGCUACACUAUGAUCAUCAUAAGACGUCUUUCCCAUGAAAGUGGUUUAGCAAUAUCUAUUUCAUUGCAAGAAUUCAACUUAUUAGUAAAAAUAAUUCGAAAAUGGUUUUAUGGGAGAGACUCAAGUAUAUUUAUUACCAUCAAAUAAGACGUGACUUAGAUUUUGGUUUUUCAUUUGCACGUGUUCGUAAACAAGGAAGCAAUUAUCCUUUUUAUCAUGAAAAUACCCCUAAGAGAUUAAUAAUAUUCGGAUGAGCCAUCCGUCCAAAGCUACUCUCCACUGUCUGAAUUCAACAAAAAAACUCAAGUUAUAUUCGCCAAAGGAUAAAAUAAAAAUUCUAGCAUUGUUCUAAGAAAUCAAAGGGCUCGUGAGUUGCAUUAACAACAUAAAACAUAAAUUUAAUUCAUCUCGUAUUGCUAUUUCUUGCAUUUAGCACUUUGAUAAUGUCAUCUCGUAUUGGUAACUUUCAGUGAAAUUUCAUCACAAUUUGUUUAGAUGCAAUUUAUUAACUUCUGUUUCUUAAAAUCGGGCCAUAUUUAUUUUAUAACUCCUAAUUCUUGAAUCACUGAAUUAUUUUACUCUCAAACCAACAUUAUUAGAAAAAAAAAGCAAUACCAGAUGUUGUUUGAGCUUCAAUUUGAGAAAUCCCACACCACAAACUUCAAUCAAAAAGAAAAUUAAUUGUUUUACCACACAUAUCAUGUUAGUGAAAGAACGCUAUGAAUUAAUGUAUAAGGAGAAUCAAGCAUUUGUAGGACGCUGCUUUAGAUUGUUUUGCAAACAUCUGUUUGCAAUUCGAACAAACACCUUCAAACAUUUUGGGGUUAUUUAACUCUUUAUACCAGAAUCAAUUAUAUUCUUUAAAUUGCCUUCUUUGAUAGAUUCUUGAGCCCAUGGCACUAAACCCCAUUGCUCCUCAUCAAGACUUCCAUCCACUGCACGUUUCAGACACAAAACCUCCAACAAAACCACCCCAAAAGAAAACAGAUCAGACUUCCUGGUUAGCAUUCCAGUUGUGAAAUAAUUUGGAUCAAGAUACCCAAAGUUGCCUUUAACAAGUGUCUUGACGUAAGUAGAUGGCUUAUUGGUUGCGCCUAUUUUGGACAACCCGAAGUCUGAGAUUUUAGCUGCCCAGUUGUCAUCUAACAGAAUAUUUGAACUCUUGACAUCACGAUGUAUAACACCAAACUCGAUCCCGGUACCUGUGUGGAGGUAAUCUAACCCACGAGCAGUACCUAUACAGAUC